rnacentral:pre_miRNA from 1 species
UAGAAUUUUUGACUCUUCAUCUUAUUUAAAUUUUUUUUAUGAUUAAUAUUUUUAUCGUUACUAUAUGAUAAAAUAUGAAUAAUAUUUUACGUGCAACUAAUUUUUUUAAAUUUUUAAAUAAUUUUUAAAUAAGACGGAUGAUCAAUCGUUUGACCUAAAAAACC